AAAAUCUUUUUAAAAACAGUAGUCAUCUUUUACUUCAAUGUACAUUUUUAUUCAUAAUUGAAAACAAUAGCCUAUUAUACUGCUAAUUUAUUAUAAGAGUCUCCAGAGUCAAAGGGUCCAUAGAGACAUAAAAAAAAUGUAUGCAGUUUCUAUUAAAUAACACUUUCUGGUCACUUUAGAAUAUGAGUAUAAUAUACAGGUCUUAUAUGCACAAAAAUGUAAAAAGGAAUUGUGAAAACAAGUCUUGUUACUAGUUUGUAUAAGAAAAAAGACAUUCAUUUUUCACAGGCUACCAACAUCAUAUAGGAUGAUUCCUAACAGAAUUCGACUUUUUCCAUUGAUUCACCUGGUAGCUCAGAGAUCUGUAGAAAAGAAGUUAAUAUACAAUGAAGUCACUACACAGUGUUAGGGGGCAGUAGAAAUUCAUACUGGUACAAAAUAUUAUCCAAGAUUUGUACACGAAGUUGAAGUGUUGAGACUGAGAUACACAUUGGUUGGCAAGUAAUCUAAGAAUCGUUUAAGACUGAAAGGUUUUUUUUUUAUGAUGUUUUAAAAAAAUCUGAAAGGUUAAAAACAUGUAGAAAUACACAGGCCAUGUCCUUCUGUCCUCUUACCAGCAGAUCCUUGCCUUUGAAAUAGAGCAAAAUGCUUUAAGUACUUCCCAUAUUCUCCAUAAGAUGGCAGAGUUGAUGUUACUAAUGUGAGGACAGACUAACUUGGAUUCUGUUAGUCACAGCGAUAAAGAGACUUAGAGGCAUUCUCACCAUUUCAGUACUGCUCUGCUGCUUUCAGUAAAUAAUAAUAUCGAGUUAGUUAGAAAUAAUACCAAAGAAACAAUUACAUGUUGUGUCAUCUCUGCACCAAUGCUUUCCACCUUGCAUUUCCUCCUUUAUGGAGCCCCUUUAUUGCCUGCUCUGCAUUUUAUUUAAACAGUGAUCUGUCAGACUAGAAACACUAUGCUACCACCCUCGGAUCAUCAGAGAUGAAGCAAGAAAAUCACUUGAGUGAGUAGCAACUGUGAUUGCUUUUGAUUGUGAGGAGCUUUGAUGUGAAUUCAGAGGCCCUUCAGACUGGCUUUGGUUUGUCUGAGGUGGGUGAUUGCAGUCCUGGCAUUUGUGAUUCAGGUUGUGAGUGGUAGGGGGCUCAUUUGGUCCAUUUUACUCUUUUCAUCCAGAGUCACAACAGAAAAGAUGGCACAGGUUGGCCCAGAUGGAAGGGGCAGCCUCUUGGCUAGUGAAACCUCGGUAUGAUAGUGUGGACAGGUAUCCUUUUUAGAGGCUGGACCCCAAGAAAGCCAGUUACCGGCUACCUGAAAGCUAUUGGGAUUUCUUCUGUAAACUUCUCAAGGCAAAGAUGUGUAUUUGUUUUUGUUACUACCCUGGCUUCUUGCGCAAAGUAGAUGCUAAGCCUUUGCUGAGUCAUAGGCAGAAACAGCGAGGUUGUGAGCUGGGACCUGGAAUCUGGAGGAAGCAAAGUCCCAGCCCCCUCACCUUGUGAGGGUCUGGCUUGUGCAGAGUACCAGCAGGCAUUGGUUCAGGGUUGUGAGGUCAAUACUCUUCUUCAUAAUCCUGACUGUGAGCUCCCUGUGGGCACACCCUGUUAUGAUCUUCCUUCAUCUCUCUAGUGCCCACUCAGACCAUCACACGCAGCAGGUGCUAAGAGGUGUGUUUUGAAAGGAAGCAGCAGCUGUAGCUAGACACCUGGGGAUGCUGGUGCGGCUUCAAGGAGGUCAUCUAGUCCUGUCUCUCUCAAGGAGCUGGUGUACCAAAUGCUAGUGUGGUCCCUACCUGCAGAGAAACUUCAAGAGCAGGAGUAUCUUCUAGACAUUGUCAAUUUUAUACACCAAGGUGCAUAUCAGACUUUCCAUGAAUGAAAAAGUAACAACACAUCCCAGUUUGCUAUAUGCUGCUGUUAUCAGAAAGAAGAGCUCUGAUAGGCCAAGGAUGCACCAGGAAGAAGUCUGUUUUGGCAAACGGAGAAGGAGGGUAACCCCUCCCAUGGAAAAAAGCUUGCUACAGUCGUGCUUUCUGCAAAAGCUUCCCUUGUCUGCGAAACAUUGCCAGGACUUUGCUAUCCUUGCAACUGAAAAUAUCAGGGCAUUCUAAUAGAAGAGAUAAUUUGGGAACCACAAGGUGGAAGAAAAUUUAUUGAAGGGGAUUAUGCCAGAGAACUAAUACCAAGAACCACAAUCUUGAAAAUCUCUUCAUUUUUUUCCCCAGAGAGAGAAUCUUAUUAGAACAUGGCUUCCAUUCAGAAUAUUCAGGGGAUAUCUUUGAUGUUACUGAGACUUUAACCUUCUGAAUACCCAAGUGUCUUUAUUUUAACCAUUUUGGAUGGUGAGUUUUUUGAAAUAAAAUUUAUGUACCCAAUUAUUUAAGAAGAACUUAUUCACCACAGGGCCAGUGUAUAAAGUUGUGUAGGUUACAGAGCACAGCAGUGCCACAUUUAAAGUGUUUCCAUUCAAAUUACAGACAUUGAAGAUCUGUGUGGUUAUUUGAAAAUUUUUCCAGUAGAUGACAAAGUAAAUAAAUAAAAAUCAAUACUAUAAUUUUAGGACAAAUGAAAGGACAGUAUUUUGACUAAGGGGUUCCUAAUUUACAAUAAAUGUUUUUAUUGAUAAUCUGGAUUUAUCACUGUAUGAACAAAAUGCUAUUCCUGGAAGCAAUAACAAUGUUACCCACAGACUCUACUAAGUGUAUUCAUUCUUACCUUAAAUGUCUCCAGACAGCUGUGCUGUAGAAUUUUUUACAUUAGUUCUCUAUCUCAGUUCUUUUAGUUUGGGAGAAUAUGUUAAAUUAUUGUAUUUCUGCAUAUUGUAUACAAUACCUAUGUUUAAUUUUCUACUUUUACUUGAAAAAUACAUGAAAUGUCAUGGCAUGAAAAUGUCAUGAAAAUAAUUAGAAUCGUGUGUAAAUUGAGUCAAUAGGAUUUAAAAAGAGGGUUGAAGAGCUUUUCUAUCGGAAAUACUCAGGCGUUUCAGAGCGUGGGUUUUGUAAUGUUUAUUGGGGUAGUCAGAGACUGUUUCUGUUUGUUCCUUGGUUCUUAGUUCUGCUGUGGGCAGAGGUUGCCAGGUAGCAGAGUUCGUGUUUCAGAUUAAGGAGUCUCAGAAAAAAUCGGAAAGGAAAGUGCGCUGAGAAGACAAUGUUUUCUUGCCUUUCUACCUAUAAUGGCAGAAAUUCCUUAGUGUUUUCAGAUCGGGACGGUCUCAGCAGCAGUUCUUACCUAUGCAUUUCUAUCGGGAGAUGAGAAAUAACUUUAUUAUUCGGAAAGAGAAUAAGAUGUAUUUUGCUUUAGAAAAUUAGUACUUUUCACUUCAAAUAUUCCUCUAAGGACUUGGAAGUAUUUUGAAGUGCUAAUGCCCAAAUUCCCUUUGAGUUAUAUAGGAGGAAAUUGGAGUAUCUAUGUCUUUAUGAGAACAUAGGAACAUAACAUUAUUACAGUUGUCAUGGAUGCUAAGAAGAUCCUGUGCUACCCUAAGCAUCCAUCAUAUGGUGUCUUAGAUUUGCAGGGGAGCUUUAAUGAAAUCUCUCCACAUUUCUUAAGAGGUUUUAAUUAUCUUGUGGCCCCAUAUUUACAGAUAUGGAAAUGUGAAGAUCAGGCAGAAUUUAUUUUAUUCAAGGAGAGUCGACCGCCAUGGGCCCUGAAGCAAAAGAAGAAAGAAUAAAACAGGAUCGGAAGACCCCCUUCUCGACCCUCCCUUGAAACUUCCUUCUUGACAAAGAUUGAUGGGACCAAUGUGACUCAGGCUCAGAGACUUCAGAGCCAAGUCCUUGUAAGCCUGAGAGCACAAAAAUAACUUUCCUGACGGCAAAGUGAUUUCGAUUUCCAGGUGAACUUUGGAUAUUUGAGUAAUCAAUGGCUCUUCUUUGUGAUGUUAAAAAAAAAACCCAAAGAUCAAUCUUUUUUCCCCUUAACUUACCACAUUAAACAAGUGGUUUAAAAAUAAUAAAUAAAGUGGAAUUAAUGAGUUUUGCUUGCCCUAUAAAAACAAGCAUGCCAUAUGACUUGCCCCAGAUUCCAAUGUCUAAAGUUACUGAACCUGGUGCUCUAUAUAUUAUAUUUUGCUUUAAAAUAUUUAGCACAGGAAACAAAUUUUCUUACUUAGAGUGAUGACAAAAAAGAAAAGCCAUAGAAGGACCUAAAUAAAUAUUUCUAGAUAUUGGUUGAAUACAUGGGUUAAACGUGACAGUUUAGAAUAAUAAAUACCCUGGACAAUGCAAAGAAAAGUCUGCUCAACACAAGGCAAGUUAUGAUGAGGGAAGCAGAAGCUGAUUACUAUUCACAUGUAGAAUAUUCUACAUGUACCAUCAUGGUCUGAGUGCUGCAGUGUACUAACUUCAAUGACAAGGCUCUUAGUUUCAUUUUACAUAGGAUACCCCAGAAAACUAUUCUGUUAAGAGUGCAUUCAAUGACUGCUAGUUUAGGUUUAAAAAAGAGGUUUAAAAGAAAGGAAACCAUAUGAGGCAGUUAAAAAGUGACCUGAAGCAAUUAUUUACAAAACCACUUCCUUGGGAAUGAAAGUCUUGAGAAGAGCCUGAUAUCUGGUACUGUAGUCAAAAGGAAACUAUUGGUUAACAAAAAAAGCAAAAGGCUCGACUGGGGCAGAUAGAAUCAUAUUUCUUUAGAAUAAAGAAAGAAGAAGGGAGGCAGGACAGAGCAGUUCUGUCUUUUGGGAAGUGAAGAGCAGCAAUCUGAGGUCUGAGAUGUUUUUUGGUCCUGUGAAGACAAAAUGACAAGAGGCAAGGCCACUGGUUGGGAUUUGCUGACGCUCAGAUACAGGCAGAGGAAAGGUGGAGUGGAAGGAGCCAUCAGCAGGAGCCCAGAUGAAAAUAAUUCGUAAGAUUUCCGUCAACAGCCAAGGGAUGGUUCAGUCCAGACUCGUGAUAGACAAUGACCACCCAAUGGAAAGAAAAGAAGGCUGGACCAAUAGCUUAUCUAGCAGACCGGGUGGGAGGAGGGGCAAGCCUCUGAGCUACCACCCUCCAUCUGUCUCCUCAUCCCUCAACUGAGCAAACCAAUUGCUAAGGUCCUUUCAAGGCAACAGCCUGAUCUUGCAGAGAAAAGAACAUAUUGUCUCAGGCAUCUUUCUUCUUUUAACUCUCAAUCCCUAAAACAAUCUUAUACUAUUUAUCCUUCAGGAACAUGGGCCACAUGGUACAUUAUUUAAAAAAGGAUGUGCUCAGUGAAGUUGGUGUGUAUAUGGGUGUGUUCAGCAUGGAUAAGUGAACCAAUCUUAUCUUGGUGAUCAGUGUCAGCAGCCAGAUUUGCAGGUACAAGGUGUGAGGGACUAUAACACUUUUCAGCAACAGAAAUCAUUUCGAGGAAUAUUGUUUAAUGAGUAGUACCUGGAAGGUUUCUCUCUGUUUCCCUGUCACUCAUUCAUACACACACACACACACACACACACACACACACUGACUCACAGAGUCUUGGAGGAACAUAUGAUAAAAUCUAAUUACAAAAACAGUUUAUGAUUUCCCUCAACUGUAUUUAUUCUUAGAGAAACAGACUACCAAGUAGUUUAAAAUACACCCUGCUCUUUGUCUCCACGGGUUUCCGCAUCUGCCCAUCUGGAGUGUUGGUGCAGGAACGGGGAGGGGGGGUGACUGUUUUUAUUGUUUGUGUCACCUUAUUUAAGGGACUUGAGCUUCGAGGAUUUUGGUUUCUGUGGGGGCUCCUGGAACCAAUUUCUCAUGGAUACAGAGGAUGACUGUACCCGUUUGUCUCUAGCCAAUAUUAUGUUCUUAGAGGUUGAAAGGAAAGCCCAACUUUUACUGAGAGAAAAUAACAGAAAAGGAAGGGUCAUAUAUUUUUCACUUGAAUGUCCUUCCCCAUCUCCUUAAUCACCAACGUCCAUUACAUACUUGGCGAAUGAAAAGAAAGUAAUGGCACAUCCAAUCAAAUCAGAAGAAAAGGUGCUGCCACAAUAAGAGUUGAAGAGUUAUGAUCAUAGAAGAAUUAAUGUAUGUUUGUAGCAGAACAAUGAGAACCAAGCAAUACAUUAGAUUGCAAUUUAAUUUCCAGAGAAGGAAAGUUAAAAUAUAUUCUGCAGAAUUAUGGGAAACAUAGAAGGAUCUUGUGUCAUAGGUUUAUUAUUUUAUUUCUAAGAAGAAAGGCAGAAAGAUGAGGUAGAAAUUCUCAUUCCACAGAGUUGAUAAUUCCUCACAGUAUUGAAGAAUAUAUGCAUUUUUUACAAUGCAUCGUAAUCAAAGUAAAUGAAAAUAUUCUUCCAAAAAACCAUGCCCACUAGUCUGAACUGUAUAGCAGAGAUUGCCAAACAUUCUUCAGUAUACAUUUCCCUUUGUUACGAGGAAAUCAAACCCCUAAAUUUUAAAUGAGCACAAGGCCACCACCGAUAAAGACUGCAAUUUCUAGCUUUCCUUGCAGCUGAACUUGGGAUGAACCAAGUAGUGUGUGUAACAUGUGAGACACACCCUUAAGUGAAAGAAGCACCAUUCUCUGUCCCCUUUUUAGCUGGAAUACACAAACAAUGGCUGGAACUUUGGCAGCCAUCUAGAAUCAUGUUAUGAUCCUGAGAAUGGCAGGAGACAUACUGAAGCAAUGAGAGAGGAGGAGCCUGGGUCCCUGUCUCUAGGGAAGCCAAGCCCAGCUCUUUGCUGACUAUCUCCAGGAUUUUGAAAUACGAAGAGAUGUAGACCUGGAUCUUACUGAAGUCACUGCCGUUUUCCUUUCCUGUCAUUUGUAGCCUUCCCAGGUGCUUCUCUAUCCUUGGACAAAGGCAGAGAAGAAAACAGAAGUCUUUAAGAUUACAUUUCAAUGCAACUGAGAAGAAACCAGAUUCUAUAAGAACAGUAGAAAAUAAAGAACGCUGAAUCAUUAUCUGCACUGUGACCUUUGGAAACUGACCCGGUGUUGGAUGAACAUGAGCAGCAGGGGAAUAGCCCUUUCUGCAUCUUUCUGCUCAAACUCCAGGCAGAUAAAGGGAAAUCAGAGAAAUCUGUCUGAGGCUGUUCCACACCCUCUAUGUAUUGUGUCUCAGGAAUUUUCUAAUUCAGCCCCUCCUCUGCGGUAAGUCCCCUGCUUCACUUUUGCUCCCUUGAAAGUAAAUUAGAAAACAUCUUAACUGCACAACGGCAGCAGAAGACACUUAUGAAAGGAAAAGUCACUGAUGCAAGAUGGAAGACGCAGUCUGGGGUAGGGGUGGACAAAGCUCACAAGACACAAUGCUAGGAUGGUUCAAAGAGGGAAAAUUAAAGUGCUUUUAAAUUUC